rnacentral:rRNA from 1 species
GAUGAACGCUGGCGGCGUGCCUAAUACAUGCAAGUCGAGCGAACAGACGAGGAGCUUGCUCCUCUGACGUUAGCGGCGGACGGGUGAGUAACACGUGGAUAACCUACCUAUAAGACUGGGAUAACUUCGGGAAACCGGAGCUAAUACCGGAUAAUAUAUUGAACCGCAUGGUUCAAUAGUGAAAGACGGUUUUGCUGUCACUUAUAGAUGGAUCCGCGCCGCAUUAGCUAGUUGGUAAGGUAACGGCUUACCAAGGCGACGACGCGUAGCCGACCUGAGAGGGUGAUCGGCCACACUGGAACUGAGACACGGUCCAGACUCCUACGGGAGGCAGCAGUAGGGAAUCUUCCGCAAUGGGCGAAAGCUUGACGGAGCAACGCCGCGUGAGUGAUGAAGGUCUUCGGAUCGUAAAACUCUGUUAUUAGGGAAGAACAAAUGUGUAAGUAACUAUGCACGUCUUGACGGUACCUAAUCAGAAAGCCACGGCUAACUACGUG